GCUAAACAGCUAGCUUAAAUACCAAGAACAUCUAAUACCAUUAAAAUAUCUUAAAAACCUACAACAUUCUAAAUUAAAUCAUUCUACCAUCUGAGUACGCGCGACAGAAAAGAGCCCAAAAAGCAAUAACAAAAGUACCGCAAGGGAACGCUGAAAGAGAAAUGAAACAAAUCAUUAAAGCGCUAUAAAGCAGAGACUUAACCUCGUACCUUUUGCAUCAUGAUUUAGCCAGCCCUACGAGCAAAGCGCACUUUAGUUCAAGACCCCGAAACUAAGUGAGCUACCCCGAGGCAGCCUAUUAAUUAGGGCCAACCCGUCUCUGUGUCAAAAGAGUGGGAAGACCCCUGGGUAGCGGCAAUAAACCUACCGAACUUAGUUAUAGCUGGUUGCCUAAGAAAUGGAUAUAAGUUCAGCCUUGUACUCCUCCCCUCAUAUAUAUUUAUUAUCUACGAAUCUGAGUAAUUUACAAGAGUUAGUCAAAGGGGGUACAGCCCCUUUGAAACAGGACACAACCUCUCCAGGAGAUUAAAGAUUAUACUAAAUAAGAUAAACCGCCUCAGUGGGCCUAAAAGCAGCCACCUGAAACAGAAAACGUUAAAGCUCCGGCGAAUCAUGAUCUAUUAUUUAAAUAUUCCAUCUUAAACCCCUAACAAUAUUAGGCCACUUCAUGCCCACAUGAAAGAGAUACUGCUAAAAUGAGUAAUAAGAAGGAACCCCCUUCUCCUAACCUACGUGUAUGCUAAAUCGGACCCCCCAUUAGCAAUUAACGAACCCAACCAAAGAGGGCACUAUGGUUACAUUAAAUAACAAGAAAUUUCCAUACGCCUCCAUCGUUAACCCCACACAGGAAAGUAAACAUAGGAAAGACUAAAAGAAAAGGAAGGAACUCGGCAAACAUAAACCUCGCCUGUUUACCAAAAACAUCGCCCCCUGCAAAUCAACAUAUAGGGGGUCCUACCUGCCCAGUGAAAUGUUAAACGGCCGCGGUAUUUUGACCGUGCGAAGGUAGCGCAAUCACUUGUCUCUUAAAUAGAGACCUGUAUGAAAGGUGAAACGAGGGUUUAACUGUCUCCCAUUUUAAGUCAAUGAAAUUGAUCUGCCCGUGCAGAAGCGGACAUACAAAUACAAGACGAGAAGACCCUUUGGAGCUUAAGAUAUAAGACCAACUACCAAUAAACAAAUCAACUAGGUAAUACCUGGUCCCAGUCUUCAGUUGGGGCGACCACGGGAGAAAGUAAAGCUCCCACGCGGACUGGGACAACCACCCCAAAACCCAGAGAGACAGCUCUAAGUCACAGAACUUCUGACCAAAAGAUCCGGCCAUCCGCCGACCAACGAACCAAGUUACCCUAGGGAUAACAGCGCAAUCCCCUUUCAGAGUCCAUAUCGACAAGGGGGUUUACGACCUCGAUGUUGGAUCAGGACAUCCUAAUGGUGUAGCCGCUAUUAAGGGUUCGUUUGUUCAACGAUUAAAGUCCUACGUGAUCUGAGUUCAGACCGGAGUAAUCCAGGUCAGUUUCUAUCUGUAAUGCCACUUUUCCUAGUACGAAAGGACCGGAAAAAUGAAGCCCAUGCUAACAGCACGCCUUACCCCAACUUAAUGACAACAACUAAAUUAAAUAAGGGAGGACAUAACUCUUACAUCAAGAUAAGAUU
rnacentral:rRNA from 1 species